GUCCAAUCACAGCCUCGUGAAUACAGAGUCUGUCUGCCGCAGAUAUGCGAGGCUCCUGUUGUUUGUUCCGUACAAGUGACUCUGUUUUCGGUUUUAAUAACUUGCUUAAGUCGACACGACGCUGUUUCCCUGGAGGAGAAGAUGAGUGCGUGGGAAAGCAAAGCCGAGGGCCCGGUGUGGAGGAGUCGAAGCUGAGAAGACAGACGCACAGUCCCUGAACAAAGGUGAUACCCAGCCAAUGAGCGAAGCCAUUGCUAACUGCUAAGCUAACUCAGAUUUGAAAAACGUGUGAACAUUAGCGCGACAGUUGCUAAAAGUGAAAUAAAGCAUCGAGUGCUUUAGCGGAACUAGUGCAUUUUUAAAUAUGUAUGAACUACUUAAAUCGAACAGUUUGUUCUCUGUAAGAUUUUUCCUAAACGUGGUUUUUGUUUGUUUGUAGGAUCAUGCCCUCUUCACAGCUGUGAUGAAAAUGGCCGGCGGAGCGAGGGUAUGAAUAAAGAAGAGCUGUUCUGUUUAAAAUACAUCCUCCAGCUUUACUUUAUCUGAUCCAUUUCAUAGUUUUGUUUUCACAGCUGGAUUCCUGCACACAAUGACGCAGUCAAUGCACAUUACGCUGAGACUUGCUGAAAGUCCGCAUUUGCACUGCCUGUACUAUGACGUCCUAAGACCCACUAUGAGCCGGUAUGAAGGAGCUUCCAGUACAACCAACCGGACCUUGCCUCAGCAUUGAGGAGUUCAGGAGACGGCAGAGAAGAAAGAGGCUGAUUGAAGCGGGACAGAUGACAUCGAUCCAUCCUUCCACAGCCAGGAGCUCAACAACCUGUGUGCCACACUUCAAAUAAGAAUAGAAGCUACACUGGAUCUCACAGCUACACACCACAGACGUCUACACACUGGGGCAGAUUCGGACAGAGUCCCACAAAGAACUUAUGACCCAGAGGCUGCAAAGAGACAUUUCAAGCUUCACCUGAUUAGCUUUUCACUGGCAAGGCCAGUUGUGUUUGUACAAUAUUUGUGCUGUAUGUAAAUAAAGC